CGCACGAGCGCAACCCUUUUCCUUAUUUGCCAGCGGGUUAAGCCGGGAACUUUAAGGAUACUGCCGGUGACAAACUGGAGGAGGGGGGGGACGACCUCAACUCAUCGGGCCCCUUACGACCAGGGCUACACACGUGCUACAGUGGUCGGUACAAAGGGUUGCUACCUAGCGAUGGGAUGCUAAUCUCAAAAAGCCGAUCGUAUUCCGGAUUGGACUCUGCAACUCCACUCCAUGAAGUCGGAAUCGCUAGUAAUCGCGGAUCAAAAUGCCGCGGUGAAUACUUUCCCGGGCCUUGUACACCCCCCCCGUG
rnacentral:rRNA from 1 species